rnacentral:misc_RNA from 1 species
GCCAGUGAAAUUUAUUAAAAGUUCUGCAAACUUUUAUUCCUUUACAAGCCAUAAUAUGCAUAACUAUGGAAACAAUUUAACAUUGGCUAGCAUUAGUAGCCCUAUCCAAGUACAAGAAAGAAGAUACAAGGUACUUAUACGUCAUUUGACAAAUUAAGAUAAGACUUACUUCCAUAGGUCCUCCACACAUUAACAAUGACAAGGAGUUCAUAGCAUCCAUAUCAACAUCAGGAUUGAUUAACUUCUUUCAGCCUUAGUCUUGAAACCAU